GACGAACGCUGGCGGCGUGCUUAACACAUGCAAGUCGAACGAAGUGGCGAACGGGUGAGUAACGCGUAAUCAACCUGCCCUUCAGGGGGGGACAACAGUUGGAAACGACUGCUAAUACCGCAUACUGAAGGAGGGGAUUGUGUCUGAUUAGCUAGUUGGAGGGGUAACGGCCCACCAAGGCGAUGAUCAGUAGACGGGCUGGGAGGAAGAACGGCCACAAUGGGAAUGAGACACGGCCCCGGAUCCGAAGGGAAGCAGCAGUGGGGAAUCUUCCGCAAUGGACGAAAGUCUGACGGAGCAACGCCGCGUGAGUGAUGACGGCCUUCGGGUUGUAAAGCUCUGUUAAUCGGGACGCGGUACCGGAAUAGAAAGCCACGGCUAACUACGUGCCAGCCGCCGCGGUAAUAC
rnacentral:rRNA from 1 species